UUUUAUCCCAGUUAAUGUGAACAUAAACUCUGAUUGUUAUGGCUAUCUGUCGUGGGGUUUCUAUUAUUUUGUCAGAAAUUGUAUCAGGAACUUUAUAUCAAUCACUAAAUUACACAUUUCCAAGCUGCAUAUGAAUUAGGUAUUACUAUGAUCAUUUUACAGAUGAAGAAGAUGAGACUCAGAGCAAUACAUAAGUUGCCCAAGGUCAGAGAGCAAGUACCAGAAAUAAAAGCCAGAUAAAUCUAAUUCCCAUAUCCUUGCUCUUUCAAUGAUGUUUCAGAGUUGAUUACAAAAAGAAUUGUUCUGUGUGCUCAGGAUAAUUUACUACCUACUAAAUUUAACCAUAGGGCAGUCUUAUAAACAGGGUAGAGUAUGCAGUUAAGAUAAAAUUUGAGAGGAAAAAAUUAAAUUAAAAUAGUACAUAACCAAUGAUCAGAAUAUUCUCUCAGUAUUUUAGAAAUUUAUGUAAGAAUAAACUAGAUACUGAUAAAAAAGUCACAUUCUUCAUGCACAAAUCUUGUAAGUAGCUACUGUUAAAGAGAGGAUACUAUUUACCUAGAAGAAAGUGGGGUUGUCAACCACUAUAUAACCAUUCGUGGGGUGAAUGUCUUUUUUAUUUUAGGCCUCUGGCUGAUGGAUCCAAGAGGUAGAUGCGUGAUGUCAAAAUAUUCUCUUUUAUAGUGACCAUAUCAGAGCACAGUGUACUCCUCUUGCCGUAUUCAGAGGAUUUGCCUAUGGGCAGCAACAUUAUUCUCUCGUUCUCUGGAUAUUAGGAACAAUAUCACAGGACCGGCGGACAGCCCCAGUCAUAUCGUGAGUAAUGUCAUCUGUAAUCCCUUAGUUAUUAGAAAAAAUAUCACAGGGGUUCUGUGUGCUUUAUCAGAUACUUGGAGUAAUAUCUUUUCCGUUUUUGGAUAUUAGACACGAUACUACAGUGGUGGUGUACACUUCCUGCGAUAUUCAGGGUAUAAUAAUCUUUUGUCCCCAGGAUAUUAGGUAGUACAUUAAAGAAGCCUUGUACUUUGCCUGUGAUAUUGGAACAAUCACAGAGUGAACACUUGCUUUCAAAAUGAGAGUAAUACCUACUUAAAAUAUGAUGGAUAAUAUCAAAAAAUGGACACACAUGGGUGUAUACCCACUUUGAUAUAGAAAGAAAUUUUUAUCUAAUAUACUAAAAAUCAUAUAU
rnacentral:lncRNA from 1 species